UACGUAGGGGGCAAGCGUUGUCCGGAUUUAUUGGGCGUAAAGAGCGUGUAGGCGGCUUUACAGGUCCGUUGUGAAAACUCGAGGCUCAACCUCGAGACGCCGGUGGAAACCGUAAAGCUAGAGUCCGGAAGAGGAGAGUGGAAUCCCUGGUGUAGCGGUGAAAUGCGCAGAUAUCAGGAGGAACACCCGUGGCGAAAGCGGCUCUCUGGGACGGUACUGACGCUGAGACGCGAAAGCGUGGGGAGCAAACAGG
rnacentral:rRNA from 1 species